UUUCCGUAGGUGAACCUGCGGAAGGAUCAUUAUUGGGUUUUGAAACUUCAGGCUGCUGCUGGCUCUCCUCGGAGGGCAUGUGCACGCUUGUUGUCCAUUAUUUCUCCCACUGUGCACAAAUUGUAGACCUUUCAGUAGGCCUAUGUUGUUUUUCACAAUCUCUGAAUGUAAUAGAAUGGUUUUGAAUCUUGGGAAAUACAAUACAACUUUCAGCAACGGAUCUCUUGGCUCUCGCAUCGAUGUAGAACGCAGC
rnacentral:misc_RNA from 1 species